GAUGAACGCUGGCGGCGCGCCUAACACAUGCAAGUCGAACGAUUAAAGCACCUUCGGGUGUGUAUAAAGUGGCGAACGGCUGAGUAACACGUGGGCAACCUGCCCCUUUCAUUGGGAUAGCCACGGGAAACCGUGGAUAAUACCGAAUACUUCGAGACUUCCGCAUGGAAGACUCGAGAAAGCUCCGGCGGAGAGGGAUGGGCCCGCGGCCUGUUAGCUUGUUGGUGGGGUAACGGCCUACCAAGGCAAUGAUGGGUAGCUGGGUUGAGAGACCGACCAGCCAGAUUGGGACUGAGACACGGCCCAGACUCCUACGGGAGGCAGCAGUGGGGAAUCUUGCACAAUGGGCGAAAGCCUGAUGCAGCGACGCCGCGUGCGGGAUGAAGGCCUUCGGGUUGUAAACCGCUUUCAGCAGGGACGAGGCGGAAGUGACGGUACCUGCAGAAAAAGCCCCGGCUAACUACGUG
rnacentral:rRNA from 1 species